GAGAACGCUGGCGGCGCACAUAAGACAUGCAAGUCGAACGAACUUAACUCAUUCUUUAGUUUGAGAGCGGUUAGUGGCGGACUGGUGAGUAACACGUAAGCAACCUGCCUAUUAGAGGGGAAUAACAGUGAGAAAUCAUUGCUAAUACCGCAUAUGCUAACAGUAUCGCAUGAUACAGUUAGGAAAGGAGCAAUCCGCUAAUAGAUGGGCCUGCGGCGCAUUAGAUAGUUGGUGAGGUAACGGCUCACCAAGUCGACGAUCAGUAGCCGACCUGAGAGGGUGAUCGGCCACAUUGGAACUGAGAUACGGUCCAGACUCCUACGGGAGGCAGCAGUGGGGAAUAUUGGGCAAUGGGCGAAAGCCUGACCCAGCAACGCCGCGUGAAGGAAGAAGGCUUUCGGGUUGUAAACUUCUUUUGUCAGGGAAGAGUAGAAGACGGUACCUGGCGAAUAAGCCACGGCUAACUACGUG
rnacentral:rRNA from 1 species